CAAAUGAAAGAAAGCUCUAUAAAUAUAUUAAUGAUUUGAGUGCCUUCAAGUUGUUAGCUUCAGAGUUUCAAUCAACAUGAAGAGUGUCAUGAGGCCAAUCUCUCUCAUCUCUCUAUUAAUUUUUCUAUUAGUUAUUUCUAGUAUUUUUGCAGUCCAAGCAAGAUCCAUUUGUGAGCAUCCAUGUAAGGGCUUCAAGCUGAUUGCAGACCGAGUCCCAAAUCUCACUCCAGCUCCACAAGGAAGAGUGAGCAACCCUAUCCCCCGUUAAUAGGAACUUUCACCUCCAGCAUCUUGCUUCCUUCUUCCCCACCCCAUCCCUCCCCAGAAAAAAAGGAUGCCUAAAAUCCUCUAUAGUCAGAGAUUGUUUCCAAUGGAUGUCUAAAUAAAUAAGAGGUGUGUGUAUCUAGAUAUAUUCUCUA